rnacentral:rRNA from 1 species
UACGUAGGGCGCAAGCGUUAUCCGGAAUUAUUGGCGUAAAGAGCUCGUAGGCGGUUCGUCACGUCGGCUGUGAAAACCUGAGGCUCAACCUCAGGCCUGCAGUCGAUACGGGCGGACUUGAGUACUGCAGGGGAGACUGGAAUUCCUGGUGAUAGCGGUGAAAUGCGCAGAUAUCAGGAGGAACACCGGUGGCGAAGGCGGGUCUCUGGGCAGUAACUGACGCUGGAGGAGCGAAAAGCGUGGGGAGCGAACAGG